CGGGGCAUAGUGUAAUGGUAGCACGAGUCCAUCGGGAGGAUUUAAUUCGAGUUCGAAUCUCGAUGCCCCGA
rnacentral:tRNA from 1 species